ACGAGCGCAACCCUUGAUCUUAGUUGCCAGCAUUCAGUUGGGCACUCUAAGGUGACUGCCGGUGACAAACCGGAGGAAGGUGGGGAUGACGUCAAAUCAUCAUGCCCCUUAUGACCUGGGCUACACACGUGCUACAAUGGACAGAACAAAGGGCAGCGAAACCGCGAGGUUAAGCCAAUCCCACAAAUCUGUUCUCAGUUCGGAUCGUAGUCUGCAACUCGACUGCGUGAAGCUGGAAUCGCUAGUAAUCGCGGAUCAGCAUGCCGCGGUGAAUACGUUCCCGGGCCUUGUACACACCGCCCGU
rnacentral:rRNA from 1 species